UACGUAGGUGGCAAGCGUUGUCCGGAAUUACUGGGCGUAAAGCGUGCGCAGGCGGUUUUGUAAGCCAGAUGUGAAAGCCCCGGGCUUAACCUGGGAAUGGCAUUUGGGACUGCAAGGCUAGAGUGUGGCAGAGGAGACUGGAAUUCCUGGUGUAGCAGUGAAAUGCGUAGAUAUCAGGAGGAAUACCGAUGGCGAAGGCAGGUCUCUGGGUUAACACUGACGCUCAUGCACGAAAGCGUGGGGAGCAAACAGG
rnacentral:rRNA from 1 species